GUCCACGCUGUAAACGAUGAGUGCUAGACGUCACGGGUAUUGACCCCUGUGGUGUCGAAGUUAACACGUUAAGCACUCCGCCUGGGGAGUACGGUCGCAAGAUUAAAACUCAAAGGAAUUGACGGGGCCCGCACAAGCGGUGGAGCAUGUGGUUUAAUUCGACGCAACGCGCAGAACCUUACCUGGGUUUGAACUGCAGUGGACCGGUGCAGAGAUGUACCUUCCCUUCGGGGCUGCUGUAGAGGUGCUGCAUGGCUGUCGU
rnacentral:rRNA from 1 species